UACAGAGGGUGCGAGCGUUAAUCGGAAUUACUGGGCGUAAAGUGUGCGCAGGCGGCUGAGCAAGUCGAGUGUGAAAGCCCCGAGCUUAACUUGGGAAUUGCGCUCGAAACUACUUGGCUCGAGUGUGGCAGAGGAAGGUGGAAUUCCACGUGUAGCGGUGAAAUGCGUAGAUAUCGGGAGGAACACCAGUGGCGAAGGCGGUUGCCUGGGGCUUUGCUGACGCUGAUGCGCGAAAGCGUGGGGAGCGAGCAGG
rnacentral:rRNA from 1 species